CGAAAAAAGUCGUUUAAUGUCGAAAGAAAAUAUUGUGACACCGACAUACUUCGACAUCAAUCUAUAAAAUAAUCCCCAUAUGGUUUUCUAAACAUAGUUCUGUGCCGAAAUAUGUUUUUAUUUCGACAUUUUUUUAAAAAUUUCAUAUUUAAGCUGUUUUAAAUCAAAUGAGGAAAAUAAAUAUACUUUUGCUUUGGUAUAUUUUCAUUGGCAGUUUAUUAAAAGAAAAAAAAAACUUUGAAGCUGUAGAUAUCGAAACAAUCACUAAAAGAAAUGCCUCGAAGUUUUUACUGCUUAUUUUUACGUUUGAAAUCAAUAUGUCAUUUUAUUAUACGAAAAUAUAGCGAUAUUCUUAUUUGUAUAGAAAUCAGUAGUAAAAUAGAAAAAAUUGCAAACAUCGAAAAACGUUUUUUGACCAAUUUCGACGUGAAUCUGUAUAACUUUAACCAAGACCACUUACGGAACCGGAUGUCACGUGAUCAUGAUGACGCUACUUUCAUUCUGUAUUUGUAUGGCGGCAAACGGCAUGGCAACUUUGUGAAAGAAACAUCGCCAUUGAUAAGUUGGAUUCAGCAUAUUGAAACAUCAUUUUGCACUACAAUUUAAAUUUGUUACCUAGUUAGUGUUUGAAAAAUCUGCAGGAAAGUUAGUUUUGGGAUAUACUCAACAAGCAAUAAUGUUGCUGCAGACCCGGACAAAAAUGCUGGUGCUCCCUAUGCUAUUUCAAUACGUGAAAACAAGAUUUGGUUAAGUAUUCUGAAGACUUCAGUGUGGAAAGGAUUGAGUGCUG